UACGGAGGGUGCAAGCGUUAUCCGGAUUCACUGGGUUUAAAGGGUGCGUAGGUAGGCAGGUAAGUCAGUGGUGAAAUCUCCGGGCUUAACCCGGAACUGCCGUUGAUACUAUUUGUCUUGAAUAUUGUGGAGGUAAGCGGAAUAUGUCAUGUAGCGGUGAAAUGCUUAGAUAUGACAUAGAACACCAAUUGCGAAGGCAGCUUACUACACAAUCAUUGACACUGAGGCACGAAAGCGUGGGAUCAAACAGG
rnacentral:rRNA from 1 species